rnacentral:lncRNA from 1 species
CCGAGGCCACGCCCCAGAGCCAGGUGCCAGGCGGCAUGGGGCAGACAGGGAAACGGAGGUGGAAAGAGGAGGAGGGCCACGCCCUCUGCCCGUUGCUUAUUCACUCAGCAAUAGCUUCCCGUGGCCCCGUCAAUCUUGUGUCCAGCUUUCCCCGUAUCUGGGUCCUUGUCAUUCCAGCCAGGGGACCUCUCCUGAGAAGAGGGUGCCUUGUCCAGGGCAGCAGGCCAUUUCCGCCCGGGACACUUCAUGAGUGCCAGCGGCAGAUAAGGGAGGCGCAUUCCAGGCCGAGACCUGUCCUGCCCUCCCGGCUCCAGCCUCCCACGCCGCAGCCAGGCUGUCUACAGAGGGCACUGUGGGCACUGCGUCCCUUAGCGCCAGGGACGGGACAAGGGCAAAAGGCAGGGCCCUAUUCCCGCUGGUGCCGACUCCGGUCUCAGGCCUCAGACCACCGUGCCUCCAGCGCCUGGAGAGUGAGCAGGAAACGCGACCCAAACCCCGACUGUGAAGCAGCCAGUCUGGGGGCGCCGGGCCUGCGCCCCACAUAGGCUCAGGGCCACGCUGGAGUGCCCAGGCCAGCACCGCAGGCCCUGUGCCCAUCGGCACGGGACGCCUGGCCCAGGCUGUGAAAGCAAGCCUGCCACUCCGCUGCACACCCACUGCCCGUCAGCCCGACUUCUGCCCAGAGGGAAAGGCCUGGCCCGCCCUGCACCUACCCACAGGUCCCCUAUCUCCCGGAUGUUGCUCCGGACCUUGUGCAGCACGUGGCAGAACUUCCAGCUGAGGAUGGAGCUGCUGGGCAGCGGCAGGCCAAUGGCGUAGGACCAGAAGGUGAAGGCCCCCUUCUCAUGGUGCGUGCCCAGGAUGAUGCCUACAAGGUCAAGGCCAAGUCCAGGCACAGAGAUGGGGCCAGGGGCUCGAGAUGCUUCGGCAACACAGUCAAG